rnacentral:misc_RNA from 1 species
AACCUUAUGGACCUGCGGGCGUAUACCUGCGGAAGGAUCAUUAUCAAAAGUCGGUCGGGAGCCCUUGUGGCUGCCGUCUACACCCAAGUCUUUUGUGUACUCUUUGUUUCCUCGGCGGCGUAAGUCGCCGAAUGGACAAAUCAAAACCUUUUUGUAAUUGCAAUCAGCGUCAUUAAAUAUAAUAAUAUUUACAACUUUUAACAAUGGAUCU